AUCAGAGAGUACCCAAGUUUGUGGCACAAGCAUGUACUGAGCACCUGCCCUGUGGCAGGCACCGUGAAGUCCCUGGGGUAGAGAGAAUCCAGGCAGAAUGUACCGAGAUUGCAACAUCCUGAGAUAAAGAGGAACAACCCAGGCUCUCUCCACGAUCCUCCUAGAACAGAUGUCCUGCAACACUUGUGAUCAGUUAAGUCAAGUCCUGGCUAGAGUAUAAAACCCAGAGUGGAGGGGUGGUGUGUUUUCUGAGUCUCUCAGCUGCAGUGUGAAGUGGAGCUCGUGCAGAUGAGACUUCCUCUGUCCUAUGCACCUUUCUUGAGGCUUGGGGACCAGCUCACCGUGGAUCCUAGGCUUCUGUUGGGUUUUGCCGUCUUUCUGGGAGUAAUAAAGUUGCUUUGCCUGA